rnacentral:misc_RNA from 1 species
GAUGAAGAACGUAGCGAAAUGCGAUACGUAAUGUGAAUUGCAGAAUUCAGUGAAUCAUCGAAUCUUUGAACGCAUAUUGCGCUCUCUGGUAUUCCGGAGAGCAUGCUUGUUUGAGUAUCAGUAAAGACCUCAACUUCCAUAUCUUUUUUGAAAUGGGAGUUGGACUUGAGUGAUCCCAACGCUUUUCCUCACCGAAAAGUGGCGGGUUACUUGAAAUGCAGGUGCAGCUGGACUUUUCUCUGAGCUAUAAGCAUAUCUAUUUAGUCUGCCUAAAAAACAGAUUAUUACCUUUGCUGCAGCUAACAUAAAGGAGAUUAGUUCUUGUGCUGACUGAUGCAGGAUUCACAAAGACAGGCUUCGGCCGACUUUGUAAACUCGAUCUCAAAUCAAGUAAGACUACCCGCUGAACUUAAGCAUAUCAAUAAGCGGAGGA